AAACUUUGCAAUAAGCGCAAGCUUGACAGGGCUAUCCCGAGUGCCAUCCGCUGAGGAAGGCUUUUACCCAGUCUAGAACGCUGGGGGAAUAAGGAGAGGGCAAGUCUGGUGUCAGCCGCCGCGGUAAUACCAGCUCUUCGAGUGGUGUGGAUGUUUAUUGGGCCUAAAGCAUCCGUAGCUGGCUAGGUUAGUCCCCUGUUAAAUCCACCGAAUUAAUCGUUGGAUUGCGGGGGAUACUGCUUGGCUAGGGAACGGGAGAGGCAGACGGUAUCUCCGGGGUAGGGGUGAAAUCCUAUAAUCCCGGGAAGACCACCAGUGGCGAAGGCUGUCUGCUAGAACGCGUCCGACGGUGAGGGAUGAAAGCUGGGGGAGCGAACCGGAUUAGAUACCCGGGUAGUCCCAGCUGUAAACGAUGCAGGCCAGGUGUUUGGACGGCCACGUGCCGUUCUAGUGCCGCAGGGAAGCUGUUAAGCCUGCCGCCUGGGGAGUACGAUCGCAAGAUUGAAACUUAAAGGAAUUGGCGGGGGAGCACCACAAGGGGUGAAGCUUGCGGUUU
rnacentral:rRNA from 1 species